AUGCAGAGGCUUUGCAGGGGCACGGAAACAGCUUCGGCACCCAUGCAUGGCAUGGAUGGAUGCUUCGGUGCAGAGUGCAGUGCAGUGCAGACAGGCAGUACAGGCAGGCAGACUGCAGUGGAGGCUUCCAUGGCAGGCGGCAUGGCGUGCCGUGGAAAGAAGGCUUCGCUGGGAGAUGGGGGACCCCGGUGCCUGGGCCGAGGCACAGCGCGCGGAUCGCCCACACCAGGGAAGAAGGGGAGGGAAGUUACCACUGUCUCCCUACCUCUGCCGUCGUCGCGGUUAAAAAAGGGGUUAGAUAGAGCAAGUGGUGAUUAA
rnacentral:rRNA from 1 species